rnacentral:rRNA from 1 species
AUUGAACGCUGGCGGCAGGCCUAACACAUGCAAGUCGAACGGUAGCACAGAGAGCUUGCUCUCGGGUGACGAGUGGCGGACGGGUGAGUAACGUCUGGGAAACUGCCCGAUGGAGGGGGAUAACUACUGGAAACGGUAGCUAAUACCGCAUAACGUCGCAAGACCAAAGUGGGGGACCUUCGGGCCUCACACCAUCGGAUGUGCCCAGAUGGGAUUAGCUAGUAGGUGGGGUAAUGGCUCACCUAGGCGACGAUCCCUAGCUGGUCUGAGGGGAUGGCCAGCCACCCGGGAAGUGAGACACGGUCAAGACUCCUACGGGAGGCAGCAGUGGGGAAUAUUGGACAAUGGGCGCGAGCCUGAUGCAGCCAGGCCGCGUGUAUGAAGAAGGCCUUCGGGUUGUAAAGUACUUUCAGCGGGGAGGAAGGCGGUGAAGUUAAUAACUUCACCGAUUGACGUUACCCGCAGAAGAAGCACCGGCUAACUCCGUGCCAGCCGCCGCCGUAA